CGAUAUUCGUGAAUCAUCGAAUCUUUGCAUCGAUGAACCGCACAUUGCGCCCUUUGGUAUUCCAAAGGGCAUGCCUGUUUGAGCGUCAUUUCUCCCUCAAACCCCCGGGUUUGGUGUUGAGCAAUACGCUAGGUUUGUUUGAAAGAAUUUACGUGGAAACUUAUUUUAAGCGACUUAAGUUUAUCCAAAACGCUUAUUUUGCUAGUGGCCCCCACAAUUUUUUUCAUAAAUUUGACCUCAAAUCAGGGAGGACAACCCCCUGAAAUUAAGCAUAUCACAAACGGGAGGAAAA
rnacentral:misc_RNA from 1 species